GUCAGCACCCCGCACUAAAGUGACGGGGCUUCAUACCUCUAACUUUAGUUAGCUGACCAGCCUAAGCCUGAAGGCUACGUUUUCUGAAUCAUAAUACCUACAAAUGCGACGCUAGUUUGUAGCUCUAUU
rnacentral:sRNA from 1 species